AGAGUUUGAUCAUGGCUCAGAUUGAACGCUGGCGGCAGGCCUAACACAUGCAAGUCGAGCGGUAGCACAGAGAGCUUGCUCUCGGGUGACGAGCGGCGGACGGGUGAGUAAUGUCUGGGAAACUGCCUGAUGGAGGGGGAUAACUACUGGAAACGGUAGCUAAUACCGCAUAAUGUCGCAAGACCAAAGUGGGGGACCUUCGGGCCUCAUGCCAUCAGAUGUGCCCAGAUGGGAUUAGCUUGUAGGUGGGGUAACGGCUCACCUAGGCGACGAUCCCUAGCUGGUCUGAGAGGAUGACCAGCCACACUGGAACUGAGACACGGUCCAGACUCCUACGGGAGGCAGCAGUGGGGAAUAUUGCACAAUGGGCGCAAGCCUGAUGCAGCCAUGCCGCGUGUGUGAAGAAGGCCUUCGGGUUGUAAAGCACUUUCAGCGGGGAGGAAGGCGGUGAGGUUAAUAACCUCAUCGAUUGACGUUACCCGCAGAAGAAGCACCGGCUAACUCCGUGCCAGCAGCCGCGGUAAUACGGAGGGUGCAAGCGUUAAUCGGAAUUACUGGGCGUAAAGCGCACGCAGGCGGUCUGUCAAGUCGGAUGUGAAAUCCCCGGGCUCAACCUGGGAACUGCAUUCGAAACUGGCAGGCUAGAGUCUUGUAGAGGGGGGUAGAAUUCCAGGUGUAGCGGUGAAAUGCGUAGAGAUCUGGAGGAAUACCGGUGGCGAAGGCGGCCCCCUGGACAAAGACUGACGCUCAGGUGCGAAAGCGUGGGGAGCAAACAGGAUUAGAUACCCUGGUAGUCCACGCCGUAAACGAUGUCGAUUUGGAGGUUGUGCCCUUGAGGCGUGGCUUCCGGAGCUAACGCGUUAAAUCGACCGCCUGGGGAGUACGGCCGCAAGGUUAAAACUCAAAUGAAUUGACGGGGGCCCGCACAAGCGGUGGAGCAUGUGGUUUAAUUCGAUGCAACGCGAAGAACCUUACCUGGUCUUGACAUCCACAGAACUUUCCAGAGAUGGAUUGGUGCCUUCGGGAACUGUGAGACAGGUGCUGCAUGGCUGUCGUCAGCUCGUGUUGUGAAAUGUUGGGUUAAGUCCCGCAACGAGCGCAACCCUUAUCCUUUGUUGCCAGCGGUCCGGCCGGGAACUCAAAGGAGACUGCCAGUGAUAAACUGGAGGAAGGUGGGGAUGACGUCAAGUCAUCAUGGCCCUUACGACCAGGGCUACACACGUGCUACAAUGGCAUAUACAAAGAGAAGCGACCUCGCGAGAGCAAGCGGACCUCAUAAAGUAUGUCGUAGUCCGGAUUGGAGUCUGCAACUCGACUCCAUGAAGUCGGAAUCGCUAGUAAUCGUAGAUCAGAAUGCUACGGUGAAUACGUUCCCGGGCCUUGUACACACCGCCCGUCACACCAUGGGAGUGGGUUGCAAAAGAAGUAGGUAGCUUAACCUUCGGGAGGGCGCUUACCACUUUGUGAUUCAUGACUGGGGUGAAGUCGUAACAAGGUAACCGUAGGGGAACCUGCGGUUG
rnacentral:rRNA from 1 species